rnacentral:rRNA from 1 species
GACGAACGCUGGCGGCGUGCUUAACACAUGCAAGUCGAACGGAAAGGCCCUGCUUUUGCGGGGUGCUCGAGUGGCGAACGGGUGAGUAACACGUGAGUAACCUGCCCUUGACUUUGGGAUAACUUCAGGAAACUGGGGCUAAUACCGGAUAGGAGCUCCUGCUGCAUGGUGGGGGUUGGAAAGUUUCGGCGGUUGGGGCUGGACUCGCGGCUUAUCGGCUUGUUGGUGGGGUAGUGGCUUACCAAGGCUUCGACGGAUAGCCGGCCUGAGAGGGGGGCCAGGGUCAAUAGGCCUACGGGACGGAGCAGUCGCGAACGGGAGGCAACGGUCGAAAGUAUUGCACAGUGAGGCCGAGUCUGUUACGACGGCGCUCGGAGCGUAAUGACCGCCUUCUGGUUAUAAACCGCUUUCGCCUGUGACGAAGCGGGUGUGACGGUACUGAGUGAAGAAGCACCGGCUAACUACGUG